rnacentral:lncRNA from 1 species
AUGCGGAUCUUUUUCGUGGCUAUCCUUCUUUCCGUGGCCUCUGCAAAUUCUUGGGACACUGGAGAUGAUGAUGGUGAUGAUAAUGAUGAUGAAAUGAUGCCAAAUUUAGGGUUUCUACUUGGAGGUGGUAAGGGUGGCCUUAUGAACAUGCUACCUCUGUUGGCAACAGUAAUGGGUGAUGGUGAUGAUGAUGAUGAAGAAGGUGAUGGUGAUAAUAUCAUGAAUCCAAUUGCUAUGUUUGGAGGUGGUAGAAUGUCUGGCCUGGUGAAAAUGUUUGGGAAACAUAUUUCUAUGUUUGGAAAAGGUGAUGAAGAUGAUGAUGAUAAUGGUGAUGGUGAUGAUGAAAAAGGCAGAAUUAAUCCUCUGACCAUGUUUGGCAAUCCAAAACAUAUCAUGGCCAUGUUCCCUAUGCUUGGAGGAAUUGGUGGUGGUGACGAGGAUGAUGGUGGUCCAAUAGUAAGCAAAUACCAUUUCAUACUUUCAGUGUUAUUUUUUACACACAAAAAUAAAAAGAAGAAUUCUUGAUACGCCGUUGAUACUAUUAAUGACUUGUAACGUUACUCAGUGAACUCCAAAUUAUGUUCUAAACACCCAACAAGCCGAGGUACUGUCUCAAUACAAAUGAAUAUUUAAAUAGCUUCAUGUCAUUCCACAAAAUAACACCCUUUGCCCACUUUCAUUUUGGUGAGUAUAUUGAUUAGGAUGAUUUAUCGUAGAAAGACUACAUAUAAUAUUUGUUGUGAAUCCUUUUGGAAGCAAAAAAACACCUCCCAUUUUAACUUGAUUGGCAUAAAUCUUUCUCCAGGUAACACGUCAAGGAUCUGAAAUUUUAUCUGAAAGUCAGAAACUAUGACUAUGAGCAGAGUGGGACAAGAUAGUCAUGAGCUAGAAUCCUCUCUGUUCCAACUAGAUUAGAUCCAUUGAAUGUGAACAUGUGGUAAAUUGCAUUGAUCCAAUGGUUCUACUUGAAUAUACCUGAACGCAGAUUUGGAUCAACGCAAUAGUUGUUGAUGAAGGAAUUAUGGGGCUUAAAAUUUCAUGGAAGCAUGUGGGAGGUGAUAAUCAAAGCAAAAGGAGAUGAGAAUGGUCAAUUGUGGAAGGAAGGAAGGAAGGAAGGAAGGAAGGAAGUAAGGAAGGAAGGAAGGAAGGAAGGAAGGAAGGAAGGGCCGGGCUGUGGCGCAGGCUGUUGAGCAGCUGCAAUAAAUCACUCUGACCAUGAGGUCAUGAGUUCGAGGCCAGCCCAUGGCAGGGUGAGCACCCAUCAAUUAAAA